rnacentral:tRNA from 1 species
GCCCAGGUGGUGAAAUUGGUAGACGCAGGGGACUCAAAAUCCCCCGCCGAAAGGCGUGCCGGUUCGAUUCCGGCCCCGGGCA